UACGGGGGGGGUAAGCGUUGUUCGGAAUUACUGGGCGUAAAGGGCUCGUAGGCGGCCAACUAAGUCAGACGUGAAAUCCCUCAGCUUAACUGGGGAACUGCGUCUGAUACUGGAUGGCUUGGAUUCGGGAGAGGAAUGCGGGAUUCCAGGUGUAGCGGUGAAAUGCGUAGAUAUCUGGAGGAACACCGGUGGCGAAGGCGGCAUUCUGGACCGAUAUUGACGCUGAGGAGCGAAAGCCAGGGGAGCAAACGGG
rnacentral:rRNA from 1 species